AACGAACGCUGGCGGCGCGCCUAAUACAUGCAAGUCGAGCGAGAAGACGUAGCAAUACGUUUGUAAAGCGGCGAACGGGUGAGGAAUACAUGGGUAACCUACCCUCGAGUGGGGAAUAACUAGCCGAAAGGUUAGCUAAUACCGCGUACGCUCCUUGGACUUCGGUUCAGGGAGGAAAGCGAUACCGUGGGUAUCGCGCUCUUGGAUGGGCUCAUGUCCUAUCAGCUUGUUGGUGAGGUAACGGCUCACCAAGGCUUCGACGGGUAGCUGGUCUGAGAGGACGAUCAGCCACACUGGCACUGCGACACGGGCCAGACUCCUACGGGAGGCAGCAGUAAGGAAUAUUGCGCAAUGGGCGAAAGCCUGACGCAGCGACGCCGCGUGGGGGAUGAAGGUCUUCGGAUUGUAAACCCCUUUCGGGAGGGAAGAUGGAACGAGCAAUCGUUCGGACGGUACCUCCAGAAGCAGCCACGGCUAACUUCGUGCCAGCAGCCGCAGUAAU
rnacentral:rRNA from 1 species